rnacentral:rRNA from 1 species
CAACACACAAAACAAGCGGUGAGUGCUUUGGGGUGGGGUGACUGCGUACCUUUUGUAUAAUGGGUCAGCGACUUAUAUUCUGUAGCAAGGUUAACCGCAUAGGGGAGCCGGAGGGAAACCGAGUCUUAAUUGGGCGUUAAGUUGCAGGGUAUAGACCCGAAACCCGGUGAUCUAGCCAUGGGCAGGUUGAAGGUUGGGUAACACUAACUGGAGGACCGAACCGACUAAUGUUGAAAAAUUAGCGGAUGACCUGUGGCUGGGGGUGAAAGGCCAAUCAAACCGGGAGAUAGCUGGUUCUCCCCGAAAGCUAUUUAGGUAGCGCCUCGUGAAUUCAUCUCCGGGGGUAGAGCACUGUUUCGGCUAGGGGGCCAUCCCGGCUUACCAACCCGAUGCAAACUGCGAAUACCGGAGAAUGUUAUCACGGGAGACACACGGCGGGUGCUAACGUCCGUCGUGAAGAGGGAAACAACCCAGACCGCCAGCUAAGGUCCCAAAGUCAUGGUUAAGUGGGAAACGAUGUGGGAAGGCCCAGACAGCCAGGAUGUUGGCUUAGAAGCAGCCAUCAUUUAAAGAAAGCGUAAUAGCUCACUGGUCGAGUCGGCCUGCGCGGAAGAUGUAACGGGGCUAAACCAU